UCGUCGUAUGUGGGGGAGCUUGACCAGAGCGUGGACGAGGGGCUGCUGCUCAAUGAAUGGGUCUGUGUUUUUCAAAUUUUUUCCCUCCCGAUUUAGGUAUAUGGAUUGGAAGCAUUUUAUCAGAGCAUAGUACUAUUUUUUGAAUUUUAGGAGUUCUUGCGUGUUUGGGAAAGUUCAGUUAUUUUUGGAUAUUCUCCAUUAUUGAUUGUGAAUCUGUUACGAAUUGCAGUGCCUUUUUUUUUUUUGGUGAUACAUUAGGGACUUUUUUUAUGUUGAAGGAUGGGUUUGGAUCAGUUUUUUAGAUAUUGAUUUAGAAUUGAUUUGGGGUUUUGGGAGCUUUGUCGAAUGUUCUUUUGGGUGAUAUACAUCCGAGAGUUCAUGAAAGUAAGUUUUAUUUGAUUUUUGUUAAUAUGGGGUUGCUCAACCUCCUCGGGAGGUAGUGAAUGUAUCAUCAUUUGUCAUAUUUGUGGUGCCCCAUGAUUUGGGUAGGAAAAGAGGGUGGGUAGUUUUGUUACAAACCUUUGUCUAAGCUAUAAAAAUUUUCUCAAAGGAAACCUUCUCUAGCUGCUGUGAUUUUGGGAUUUUGGUAGCUCUAGCUGCUGUGAAAUAUUUAAUUCACAUCUAAUCAAAUAAAUGCACACUGAGGAGGGCAGUAAUCUCUGGUAGUUUGGAGGAAGGGAAAAGAACUUAGAAAUUAACCUGGUAGCAUCAUUGAUGGUACUUAUAUUUUGCAAAAUGGAACCAAAUAUGUGCAUACCCAUGUGUGAAUAAUAUCUAUCAUAUACGUUGACUGGGAUUUUUGGCUAUUCUGUUUUGCUUUGCAGCCUUAAGUUUUGGUAUCAUGGCUUUAAUUGGAACCUUAUUGUAGAUGGUUCUUAACUUUGUUAUCAUUUACUGUUGCUUUCAGUCAUAUAUAGAGGUUUGAUUUUGUUAUACAGAGUGAGUUCAUGUGGUUUUUUUGGGUAGCAGAUGUAGCUUUCUUUUUGUCAAUUUAAUAAGCAAUAGAUUAAUAUAUAUAUAUAUAUAUAUAAUUAAUUCGACUGAGAGAAAGGAGAAUAGGUAAAUGCCAUAUAAAAAGGCAAACCAUAAAACAAAUUAAGCAUGCAAGCAUAUUAGAUAUAGAAGGCAGAUACCAAGAGAACUCAUGUGCAAACCAAGCUCAAGAUGGAAGCAACUACCAUUCAUGUUUCUACCUCAAUCUCUAUGGAUUUGUACCCAAAGUUGCCAAAAGAAGAUGGAGUUCUUGUGGUCUGUAAUGGUGAAAAUGGAGUCUCUGCUGCUCACCAGUUUUCUGAUCAUCAUCAUCAAGUAUUAUCGGACAGCAUAGAAGCUUUAAGAUCAUGAUCAUGAUCUUAAACAACCACGGAUUCCUGGUUGGUUUGCAGAGCAUUGUCCAAUUUGGCCAGUACAUUUCUGACUUUGGACAUCUCAGGAAAAAGAAAUCAAUGGACAAACAAAUUUAAGAAAACAAAGAAAGGAAAGUAGAAGACACGCAUAUAACUUUUCAGAAAAAGAAAUUUUGUUGACCAAACAACAUUCAUUUUGCUUGUCAUAUUUGUGGUAAGAUUUUUGCCAGAUUCAUAGAUUUUUGCCAUUUGCGUAGUCGUCAUGCACUUCUUUCAUCUCUUUUUUUGCCUUUUGGUUGUCAUAUUAAAUUAUUGGCAUUGAAUAAAUUUUGCCUUUAACUUUUUUGAGGACUUUCCACAGGUAGUUCAAUUGAUAUGGUGAUCCUCUAUGAUUUUGCUUCUUGGUGAGCUAAAAGCUGACAAAGCUCAUUUAAGUCUUUGAAUUUCAGUUAAGGCCAAUGUCUUUAUGUUGUAUGUAAUGAACACAUUUCAAAAACUCAAGUGUUAUUUGAAUAAAAUAUCUACAUUUGUGUUGGAUUGGAUUACAUGGGCAGCAAGCAUGUUGAUAUGUCUUGCAAUACAAGAUUUUGAGUUAUAUAUAUGGAAGUGUGAAGUGGAAUGAUGUGAAUUGGUAGUAAAUAUUGAAGUGAUAUGUUGGUUGGGAUUA